rfam:Protomyces lactucaedebilis strain 12-1054 BCR37scaffold_9, whole genome shotgun sequence.
GCUCCUGUAGCAUAGUGGUUAAUGCGCCAUGCUUAUGUUUUACCCUGAAGUUGAGGAAAACAUGGAUACCGCGAGUUCAAAUCUCGCCAGGAGCA